rnacentral:rRNA from 1 species
UGGGGAAUCUUGGACAAUGGGCGCAAGCCUGAUCCAGCCAUGCCGCGUGAAGGAUGAAGUAUUUCGGUAUGUAAACUUCGUAAGAAUAGGAAGAAUAAAUGACGGUACUAUUUGUAAGGUCCGGCUAACUACGUGCCAGCAGCCGCGGUAAUACGUAGGGACCAAGCGUUGUUCGGAUUUACUGGGCGUAAAGGGCGCGUAGGCGGUUUGUCAAGUCAGUUGUGAAAUCUCCGAGCUUAACUCGGAACGGUCAACUGAUACUGUCAAACUAGAGUACAGAAGGGGCAAUCGGAAUUCUUGGUGUAGCGGUGAAAUGCGUAGAUAUCAAGAGGAACACCUGAGGCGAAGGCGGGUUGCUGGGCUGAUACUGACGCUGAAGCGCGAAAGCUAGGGUAGCAAACGGGAUUAGAUACCCAUGUAGUCCCUGAGCGGGCUGGCAAGGCGCAU